AACGCAUAUUGCGCCCUUUGGUAUUCCGAAGGGCAUGCCUGUUCGAGCGUCAUUAUCAACCUCUCAAGCUUGGCUUGUCGUUGGACCUUGCAGCUGCCUGUAAUCGGCGGGGGGCCGGUCUUCAACCCAGUGGCGGAGUUCGGUAUGGACCCCCGGAUACAACGAGCUCUCUAGCAUGUAUCAAGGUGGUCCGCCGACCUAGCCUCGUCGAAAAGUCUUAACCAUGGUUGACCUCGGAUCAGGUAGGAGAACCCGCUGAACUUAA
rnacentral:misc_RNA from 1 species